CGAGAUACCAUAUUACUUUUGAAAAAUAAAAAAGCAAUCUUUUUUCGCAUAUAACGUAAAAUUCACUCCAAUCCUUUCGGAGCAUGUUCAACUGCGAUCUAGCGGCACUCCCAGUUACGGUGAAUUUCUAAAGAAUAAAAAGAAUCACGUUUUGAUGGUGUAAUCUUGUCAUCGUGUCAAAGUAGUAACAUGAACUCAAACCACAUUCUAUCACGAAAGUACAGUGGUUUUUGGAUAAAGAACUUAUACAGAUGUAAUAAACGCACAUAUUCAUGAAUACGGCCGUGAGGAACAACAUAAUCUCUAUGUUGCAUCCUCAAUUUGCCAACAUGGAUAAACACGCACACGCGAUACGAACACUCACCACUAACGUAUAAGAUCAUGCAUCGCGAUUGUUGCGGAAUGGUUGUUCACUCUGCGAACGAACCGUCGUGAUGCUACGCAGGAUUUUAUAGACGCUCGUACCGGGAUUCGAUCAGAACUAAUAUUCUUGUUUUCCUAUUUAUCUCCAUUUCUUCGUUAUUAUUAACGAAGGUCAGUUAAAAAAAUGAAGAAAUAGUUAAUCUUAAUUAACGAACAGAAGUAUUCGUUAUAACAUCCAUUUUACAAACACAGUUUACAUCUGAUGUGAAAUGGAAAGUCUCCCACAGCCACCUUUAUCACUAAAAGCACCAUUCACAAUGACGCAUUUGCAUCACAUCUAUUUGUGCUUCUAACUACUACUGUUGGCAACAUUUAUGUAUAUUUCCUCUAGAAAAUUUACUAAUUCAUUUAUUUUCGGAUUUUCAAUUUUAUUACUUCCCAAUUAAAAAAAAAGAGAAUAGAAUAAAAAGUCACUAAGAAUUUAUCAAUCUAGAAGUUUUUUUUAUUAUAAAAACUUUUGUUACUCUUUUUUAAAAUAUAUUAUUCCUAUCCUUUUUUCUUGCGCAUGCGUUCUUUCUUUUGUUUUUUUACCAAAUAUUCGUACUAAAUUGUAAAGAUUGUUUUUUCAAUUUUUUUUGUAAAAAUUAUCAUUCGUGCCAAUUUUUUCAAAGUAUAAAUUAAACCUUAUUUGCAUUUAUUAGUUUGUUAUCAAAUAUAUUGUAAAAAAUUUAUUGUAAUUUUCUUUUAAUUGCUUAAAUAGAAUAUUUAAAAGAUUAUAAUUUUUGCAUUUUUAAAACUUGCAUUGCUAUUUGCUUUUUAUAUCAAGUUACUUUUAAAUUAAUUGUUUUACAUAUUAUAAGUUUUGUAUGGAUGUUUUAAUCUUAUAAAUUUUAAAUUUGUGUACUAGAUUUACAAUAUUUUUUUUAUUGCAUUAAUUUUGUUUGUAUAUUAAUUGUAAAAACGCAAUUAAAAAUAAUAUUCGGAAUUUCUGCUUAUUUAUAAACACCAAUUAUGAAUUCUUAUCUGUACAAUGAUAAAUACAAAAGUUUAUACAUUUAAAUAUAACAAUUAAUUAACGAAUUAAUUUAUACAACAGUGAUCAGAAUAUAAUCAAUUAUUUUCUUAUAUUACUUGGAUUUGUAUACACUCAUUCACCAUACAUACACACAUACAGAGGUUACUUUCAAAAAAAA